UACGUAGGGACCAAGCGUUGUUCGGAUUUACUGGGCGUAAAGGGCGCGUAGGCGGCGUGGUAAGUCACUUGUGAAAUCUCUGAGCUUAACUCAGAACGGUCAAGUGAUACUGCUGUGCUAGAGUGCGGUGAGGGGCAAUCGGAAUUCUCGGUGUAGCAGUGAAAUGCGUAGAUAUCGUGAGGAAGACCGGUGGCGAAGGCUGGAUCUCUGGACG
rnacentral:rRNA from 1 species